GAGAGUGAGAGAGACAUCAAGAGAGUAACUAAUUUAUAAGUUAAAGAGUCUUGUGUUUUAGUUGUUUCAGAUUUAAGUUUGUGUAACAAUCUUUUUUCAAAGUGAAUAAAGCCCAAGACAAGUUUUUGAUAUCAGAUUUCAUUCCAAGUUUAACCUAACACGCUCAUGCAUAUACAAACAAAUAUUCCAAGUUUAACCUAACAUGCUCAUGCAUAUACAAACAAAUAUGAAGAACAAUAUUUAUUAGUAGGGGAAGAUCUACGGUAUAAUAUUGAUACAAAGAAUAUGUGUAGAACAGUGUGGCUAAGAGAAGUGACACAACCAGCUGCAUGAUAUACGUACGUUGGUGUAUAUAUAAUGUGUAAGUUGAAAAGAAAAAUUCUCUU
rnacentral:lncRNA from 1 species